rnacentral:rRNA from 1 species
AUUGAACGCUGGCGGCAGGCCUAACACAUGCAAGUCGAACGAGUGGCGGACGGGUGAGUAAUGUCUGGGAAACUGCCCGAUGGAGGGGGAUAACUACUGGAAACGGUAGCUAAUACCGCAUACCAUCGGAUGUGCCCAGAUGGGAUUAGCUAGUAGGUGGGGAAACGGCUCACCUAGGCGACGAUCCCUCGCUGGUCUUAGAGGAUGACCAGCCACACGGGACCUGAGACACGGUCCAGCCUCUUCCGGGAGGCAGAAGGGGGGACUAUUGCACAAGGGGCGCAAUCCUGAUGAAGCAAUGCCGCGUGUAUGAAGCAGGCCUUCGGGUUGUAAAGUACUUUCAGCGAGGAGGCGUUACUCGCAGAAGAAGCAUCGGCUAACUCCGUGCCAGCAGCCGCGGUAAUUC